CCCGGGCCAGUCCUCUUCAGAUGAUCCCAUGUGGCUUCAACAUAAUCCCUGACCAGGGUCCCCAGGUGUCUACAAUGGGACUUCUAAGGAGACAGUAACCAUCAUGUAUCCUUAGCCGACCCUGAUAUACACUAGAGAUCCUGCAGUUCACCUCUUUUAGUUCCAGGCUAAAUGAGCAGAAAAAGACACAGGUGGUGGAACACAACCGGGCUUUUUACACAGCCAAGGAUGUGGCGAGGAUUUGAAGCCUAAGGGCAACCUAUUUGGCCUUGCACGGAUAUGUUGAUAACAUGUGAAGCUGUGCACACCACUUCAUGGAUGUCACAAUGUUUGAUCACUGGAAGCUGAACACUCCUCAGGAGCAGUCAGAUUCAACAAAAAGAGAAAGAAGAGCUCGGGAUGGGAACCAGGCAACCAUGAGGCAAAAACUGUGGGCUGUCCUCAGCACUGUCAGUAGAGAGGACCCCUGGAAUGUGGGUGGAACAGUGAGCAGAGAUGGCUGGCCUCUGUCAUUUAGCUUGCUUGGAUCUGGCCAAGGCUACUAAAGAAGAAUAUCCUUUUGAUCCCAGAGUUAAUGCUGACCAUGAAGACAGUGUUGAGGCUGCAAGGCAGAGCAUCUGCUCAUAGUGCUGACUCCUGUUCAUGAUGCAGAAUUCACAGUAGAGUCAGCUAGGGCCACUUGAGUACCUUGUGCUUCAAGGUGCAGGAGUAAUUCCCAUCAGCAGGGAAGGUGCUGGGGAGUGUCAGAGAGUCCUUGUGACCAUUUCAUGUUAAGUUACCAUAAGCUAGAGCUCUUUGGGAAAAGGAAUCUCCAACUGCGAAAAUGCCUCCACAAUCUUAGCCUGUGGGGCAUUCUCUUGACUGAUUGUGCAAUGACAGUGAAUUGCAGGCUGUGCCACCCCUGGGCCGAUGGACCUGAGUGCCAGAGAAAAGAAGACUGAGCAAGCCACAAAGAUCAAGACACUAAGUAGCACUCCACCAUGGACUCUGCAUCAGGUGCUGUCUCCAGGUUUCUGCCUUGAGUGUCUGCCCUGACUUUCCUGGAUGAUGGACAAGCAGCUGUAAACAGAAAUAACCCUUUCCUCUCCAAGUUUCUUUUGGUUGUGAUGUUUUAUCACAGCAAUAUCAACCUAAGACAGAAGUAUUCUGUCUCUAGGUAGAAUGGUGGGCUGACAAAGCCCAAGAGUACCUCUGCACUAUAUGCUCAACCAGCAUAGACCACCAUGUCUCGGCAUCAUUUGCAGGGUGAGGCGAGCAGAGGCUCCUUCUCAGACCCUGAGCCUCUAUGCCACUGAUCAGAAAUUCCUCCUUCUGCUUCACAGACAAUGUAAAGAGAGAAAUGGAAUUUGCGGUCUUCUGAGCCACUGACUGGCCUUUGCCUCUUACCUUGAUAUGUGUGAGCUGGAUUAAGAAGACUGUGGGAAAUGGUGGUUAUUAAAACAUCAGGCUUGCAUAGAGAAGGCACAUUCAUAAUGAGUAUGUGUGUGGAGCAUGCUUAGUGCUCCUAGUGUCACAGAAAUAUCAGCACAAGGCCAUGUCUGUCCAUGCGCUAGGACACCAUGCACACAGGUAGAGAUGCACAAAAUCUCUAUGAACCUAAAUGAUAGCUUCCUCCUCAUCUGGAUACAGUCAUGGAAACAUCACAGCCUGAGGCAUCCCCCAAUAGGAUGAAACAGUUCUAGUGUACUAACUCUAAGAGCUGCCCAUGUUUGCUAAAGUUUCAGAAUGAUUUAUCUUAUUUAUUAUGACUUUUCAAGGUUGUGUGUCUGUAUAUGUGUGUGUACCUGCAUGCAUUACACAUGUGAGCAGAGCUUAAGAGGAGAAUAUCAGAUCCCGUGAAACUGGAGUUACAGGUGGAGUUAGGAACAGACACAGGGGUGUUGGGAACUGAAUCUGGGUCCUCUGCAUGAGGAGCCAGUGUUCUUAACCAUUGAGCCAUCUCUCCAGCUCCAUCACUUCAUUUUCAUUUACAGUGUAUGGUGCACUACAUUCAUGUAGACAUAUACAUGGUUUUGCAACAUAUAUAUGCAUGAGAUAUGCACGCAAGGAAGUCUGUGUCUCCUUUUGAUUGGUUGUUAUGAGUGGGUUGUGAGGACAAGGACCUGUAACUCUUCAUCUAUUCAGGUUUGUGUUGUUAGCAUUACUUGCAAAUGGCACAAGCUCUUUUAUUUUAAAAUAAAUAAUAAAAA
rnacentral:lncRNA from 1 species